rnacentral:pre_miRNA from 1 species
UAUUAAAAAAAUCAUCUAUUUUUACUAUUAAAAAAUGACUUGGUUAAUAGAAUGACUAAGAAGUUACACGUGGUACGUAUAUCUCAUUUGGACGUAUAAUGACUAAUUUUAAUAGUAGAAAUGAAUAAAAUUUUUAACA